CACGUAUGAAACCUGCCCGGAGCAGGGGGAUAAGCGGAAGAAAUUCCGUCUAAUACCGCGUAAUGAGGCGGGGAGGCAUCUCCCCGCUUCCAAAGAUUUAUCGGCUCCGGAUGGUCAUGCGGCGCAUUAGCUGGUUGGCGGGGUAACGGCCCACCAAGGCGACGAUUCGUAGGGGUUCUGAGAGGAAGGCCCCCCACACUGGUACUGAGACACGGACCAGACUCCUACGGGAGGCAGCAGUGAGGAAUAUUGGUCAAUGGCCGGGAGGCUGAACCAGCCAAGUCGCGUGAGGGAUGACGGCCCUACGGGUUGUAAACCUCUUUUGCCGGGGAGCAAGAACCGCCUCGCGCAGGCGGACUGAGAGUACCCGGAGAAAAAGCAUCGGCUAACUCCGUGCCAGCAGCCGCGGUAAUACGGAGGAUGCGAGCGUUAUCCGGAUUCAUUGGGUUUAAAGGGUGCGCAGGCGGGCGGUCAAGUCAGCGGUAAAAUCGUGGGGCCCAACCCCAUCCCGCCGUUGAAACUGGCCGUCUUGAGUGGGCGAGAAGUAUGCGGAAUGCGUGGUGUAGCGGUGAAAUGCAUAGAUAUCACGCAGAACUCCGAUUGCGAAGGCAGCAUACCGGCGCCCGACUGACGCUCAUGCACGAAAGCGUGGGUAUCGAACAGGAUUAGAUACCCUGGUAGUCCACGCAGUAAACGAUGAAUACUAAUUGUCCGGGGCG
rnacentral:rRNA from 1 species